rnacentral:rRNA from 1 species
CGCCAGACUCCUACGGGAGGCAGCAGUGGGGAAUAUUGCACAAUGGGGGAAACCCUGAUGCAGCGACGCCGCGUGAGCGAUGAAGUAUUUCGGUAUGUAAAGCUCUAUCAGCAGGGAAGAAGAUGACGGUACCUGACUAAGAAGCCCCGGCUAACUACGUGCCAGCAGCCGCGGUAAUACGUAGGGGUCAAGCGUUAUCCGGAUUUACUGGGUGUAAAGGGAGCGUAGACAGCGAUGCAAGCCAGAUGUGAAAGCCCGGGGCUCAACCCCGGGACUGCAUUUGGAACUGUGUGGCUGGAGUGUCGGAGAGGCAGGCGGAAUUCCUAGUGUAGCGGUGAAAUGCGUAGAUAUUAGGAGGAACACCAGUGGCGAAGGCGGCCUGCUGGACGAUGACUGACGUUGAGGCUCGAAAGCGUGGGGAGCAAACAGGAUUAGAUACCCGAGUAUCA